rnacentral:rRNA from 1 species
UACGAAGGGAGCUAGCGUUGUUCGGAAUUACUGGGCGUAAAGGGCGCGUAGGCGGUUUGUCGCGUCGGGAGUGGAAACUCAGGGCUUAACCCUGAGCCUGCUUCCGAUACGGGCAGACUAGAGGUAUGCAGGGGAGAACGGAAUUCCUGGUGUAGCGGUGAAAUGCGUAGAGAUCGGCAGGAACACCCAGGGGGAAACCAGUCGACUGGGCAUCUACUGACGCCGAGGUGCGAGAGCGUGGGGAGCGAACCGG